rnacentral:rRNA from 1 species
AUGGAGAAGGCAAGAAAGCACAUGCCUUCAUCGUCUUCCUUCAUAGGAAUACUUCUCUUGAUCAAGGUCUUGCCUUCAGGGCCUGGUUUCACACGUGCAACAGAUACUCUUCUUCCAGGCCAAUCUCUGAGUGGUAACCGGACCUUGCUUUCAAAGAAUGGUACAUUCAAGUUGGGUUUCAACUGCCUAUCUCCCCCAUGUUAUUCAGAUUCUACCUUUGGCAUAUGGUACGUUAACUCAUCAACUUGUAGCCCUCUUCUAGUUUGGGCGCCCGACACGGUUUUGCCCAUCUUUAGAACUUGGUCCUCAUCAUUUGGACUCUUAGAAGAUGGCAACCUAUAUCUUAAAAGUGAUGAAGGCUCACUUGUUUGGUCAGCAUUUAGAACCGGCGGAUAUAUUUCUGUACUUGCAAUACUUCUUGACAACGGAAAUCUCGUUAUAAGGGACCAAGUGGAUAUUUCUGCUGUGUUGUGGCAAAGCUUCGACAACCCACUUGGUACAAUACUACCUGGGGGCUGGAUGGGAUCUAAUAGGAUCACUAACAAAGAAGCCUUCCUUAUUUCCAGGGCUUCCUGUUCUGGGAUUGAUCGUUCUACUUUGACAAUAUAUCCAGAGCAAAGUAGAGAAAUUUUGGUUCGGCUUAUUCCUGACAUACUCCCUCCGUUCCUAAAUGUUUGUCUUUCUAGAGAUUUCAACAAGUGACUACAUAUGGAGCAAAAUGAGUGAGUCUACACUCUAAAGUAUGUCUAUACACAUCCGUAUGUGGUAGUCCAUUUGAAAUCUCUAAAAAGACAAAUAUUUAGGAAUGGAGGGAGUAUAUCCCAUCUUCUCCGGUGAAGAGUAUUCUGGUGCUUUUCCCAGCUGGAUGGGAGUUCAUGCAGAUGGAGACUCUCUUAUGUUGUUCGAUGAUGCGCAUCUAUAUGUAUGAUUGGAUGAUAAUGGUACGGUCAGUGCUGCUGAACUAGGGGACUGUGUCUCUGUUGUGGUCUGCUUCACCUAGUGAGCUUGACUUGGUUCCAUGCCGUGAUGCAGAAAGCAUUUGUGUAAUACCAUACGACAGCACUCAGCCUUACUGUUUGAGAGUUACUGCUCCACAUUGUCUAUCUAAUGUCUCCGCUACAAAAGACGAUUAUUUUCAUCAGAUCGACGGGGUCUAUAAAUUUCCAGGAAGUCCUUCGUCAGUCAAAGUAAGAAGCAGCAGAGAGUGUGAAACUGUUUGUUUCAAUGACUGUUCCUGUACUUCAUAUGCCUUCAAUGAAACAUGCUUACUGUGGUACUGGAAGCUGCACAGAGUAUUGGUUGUGUCUGGUUCGGAAUCUCGUUUGUAUAUACGUAUGGGUAACCAAGAAAAUUCGAACUCCAAGAUUGAAUUUGUUGUUCUAACAGUGGUAGGUGUCUUGGCCCUCCUCCUGGUUGGUCUGGUUCUCUUGUGGAUUAGUAAAAGAAAGUUAUUCGUUGAAAGACUAGUGGAUUCCAAUAGUGGCCUUACGGUCUUCUCUAAUACGCAAAUAAAGAAAGCAACGAGAAAUUUCUUGGAAAAACUUGGAGAAGGAGGUUUCGGCUGUGUUUUCAAGGGCACAUUACCAGGUUCCUCUAUGGUGGCUGUCAAAAUGCUAAAAGAUCUUGGACAGGGUGAGAAGCAGUUCCGAGCAGAAGUGCAGACCAUUGGAAUGCUUCAACACAUCAAUCUUGUUCGUUUGUUUGGGUUCUGUGCUGAGGGAAGUAAAAGAUUGCUGGUAUACGAGUACAUGGAGAAUGGAUCUUUGAGUUCUCAUCUGUUUUCGAAGAGUUCUGUAAAAUUAAUCUGGGAGCUCCGGUACAGUAUAGCACUUGGAACUGCAAGAGGCUUGGCUUAUCUGCAUGAGGAAUGCAAGGAUUGCAUCAUACACUGCGAUAUAAAGCCAGAUAAUGUACUCCUUGAUGCAGAUUUGUGUCCUAAGGUUGCAGACUUUGGUAUGGCGAAGCUUCUUUGCCGAGAUUUUAGCAGGGCACUGACAACAAUGCGGGGGGCCAUCGGAUAUCUUGCGCUGGAGUGGAUCUCAGGGCUUCCGAUCACACAUAAGUCUGACGUUUACAUCUACGGAAUGAUGCUUCUUGAAAUCAUUUCGGGGCGAAGGAAUGUGGAGAAAAUCAAGGAAGGGAAGUUCACUUACUUUCCCAUCUUUGCGGCAGUCAAGGUGAAUGAAGGAGAUGUUAUGUGCCUUACUGGAUAGUACUCCCUCCGUUCCAAAUUACUCGUCGUUGAAAUGGAUGUAUCUAGAACUAAAAUACAUCUAGAUACAUCCAUACGUGCGACAAGUAAUUCGGAACGGAGGGAGUAGGUUGGAAGGCGACGCAGAUGUGGAGCAGCUGAGCAGAGCUUGCAGAAUCGCAUGCUGGUGCAUUCAAGAUGCUGAGGAUCAUAGGCCAAUGAUGGGGCAUGUUGUUCGCAUGCUAGAGGGUGUCAUGGAUGUUGAAGUACCUCCUAUUCCGAGGUCGCUGCUGAAUUUUGUGGGCAUGGAGGAUUGCACUCCCUCUACAGACUUAUAUAGUCUGUGAAGGACCAAAAGCUUCGUUCCAUUUGUCCAGAUCUACAUCAAGAAUUAAGUUUGUGUCUUUUGUACUGUAUUUCCUAAACUGCACUUGUCCCUUAUUGGCCAAGUUUCUGAACUGCAAUUUGUUACUCCCUCCGUCCGGAAAAACUUGUCAUCAAAAUGGACAAAAAAGUAGACUUGUGGAAAAGCUGUUUUAAGCCAACGGCUUCACCUCUUUUAUGACACAAAGGCUUGUCCGUUCAUCUUCAGAACAAUUGAAGUACAACAAGUUUAUUUAUCUAUCUGGAAUUGAGCGCAAGAUAUGAUAUGAAUGAAUUCUAGUACAGUAGAUUUAGUUCCACAGACUGCGGUGUUUGCAGAAACCUAACUAAGCCUUAUGUUUGACGCGGUGUUUCCCAUUGUUUACCGCAGCAAUACAAAUGUUUGCAGAAGACAAGGAUGACAAUUAUGUCAUUUUACCUGUGAGAGUUACUUGUUAGUAUGGUUGUAGAUUUUAUUUUCCCGAUGAUGCAUGGUUGUAGAUUCUGGUGAAUAUUUGAGUAAUGACAUGGAAGAACAAACAGUACCAAGACAUUUCUGGUGAAUAUUUGAGUAAUGACAUAGAAGAACGAACAGUACUCGAAUUCCAGAUCGGAUCCAUCCAAUCAACUACAGAUAACUCUAAAACGAACAGGAAAUAGUUUCCAAAUAAACCGCGUGUCUCAGUAUUACAAUCAGCAUAAAAAGGUUUUAUCCGCUGGUUUUGUAACUUGCAUGGUGUAAUUUGCUCGGAGUUCAGCGUGACUCCUUCAGAGUCUUAUCUUGGAGCUUUCAUGAUUCCAUUCCAUUUCCAGUGGUUUUCGGUCAGAAAGUCCUUGAUGGAGUCAGACAGGCCAGACUCCAUAUAGCCAUCAGUCCAUGAACCAGAGCAGCUUCUGCUACCUCACUAACUGAUAUCUGCUCUGUCUUGCAGGGGAAUCUAUGCUGUCCAGCCAGAUAUCGGCGAUGUAGCGGUAAGCCGCCUCCGUCAAGUGGACGCCGUCCCAGAACAGACGAGCAGCCGGUUUCUCGCACAGGUUUGCACCUUCAUCGCCGCAGAAAAGUGUCCCAGGCCCUCCGCAACAAAUGGCGACUCCACCAUGUCCAUGAUUGG